CACCUGAAAAAACAAUUAAAAUCACCCGAUUGUUGGACUAUAAGUCUUUUUUACCCAAAUAGCAAAAUUAUAUUAUUCAUCAAUUCAUGAAAAGAAUCUCAGCUAACCACACGCUAACCCUAUGCGAGAAUUCGAGCACGUGCAGGUUGUGCUUGGCAUUGGCCAAGAAUCAUCAGUCGCCACAUGUGGGAAACAAUUUGUUGCGUGUUAUUAUAAUUUAUUUUACUAAUUCAUGCAUGGAUGAUGGAGACUUGCAGAGAUGCGGUUCCUCAAGCACGUGCCCAUCGUUUUCCAGCUGCUAUUCGACAUGUGAGGCAGGCAGCGGUGUCCUUUUUUUCCAAUCACCAAUCAGACUCGCAUCUGACGUGGAUCAGCAAAAGGAACUCGUGGCAGAUUUUUUUUUUUUUUUGGGGUUCAGUUCGUGGUGUUGGUUUUAACAGCCGUAAAUGGAAUAGGGCAAGGAUCUUUUUUUUUAUUCACUCCACAUUUUCAAAUAAAAAAAGGGGGUAAAAAAAUUUCCAAAUUGUAAGGUCAAACCUACAAAAGCUAUGGUGCCUGACGUCAUCCUAAGCCUUAGAAAAAAAAAACUCGACAAGAAAAAGCAGAGCAAUCAGGUGGGUACCU
rnacentral:lncRNA from 1 species